rnacentral:rRNA from 1 species
GAAGCCAGGACGCUUGUUCUGGUGGAGCCGACGUUGAAAUACCACCCUGGUGUGUUUGAGGUUCUAACCUUGGCCCGUGAUCCGGGUUGGGGACAGUGUAUGGUGGGCAGUUUGACUGGGGCGGUCUCCUCCCAAAGCGUAACGGAGGAGUUCGAAGGUACGCUAGUUACGGUCGGAAAUCGUGACGAUAGUGCAUUGGCAUAAGCGUGCUUGACUGCGAGACUGACAAGUCGAGCAGGUACGAAAGUAGGACAAAGUGAUCCGGUGGUUCUGUAUGGAAGGGCCAUCGCUCAACGGAUAAAAGGUACUCUGGGGAUAACAGGCUGAUACCGCCCAAGAGUUCAUAUCGACGGCGGUGUUUGGCACCUCGAUGUCGGCUC